rnacentral:rRNA from 1 species
ACCAAGGCGACGAUGGUUAGCUGGUCUGAGAGGAUGAUCAGCCACACUGGAACUGAGACACGGUCCAGACUCCUACGGGAGGCAGCAGUGAGGAAUAUUGCGCAAUGGGGGCAACCCUGACGCAGCAACGCCGCGUGAGUGAGGAAGGUUUUCGGACCGUAAAGCUCUGUCGAGCGGGAAGAAAUGCAUGGUGGCUAAUAUCCAUCAUGCUUGACGGUACCGCUAAAGGAAGCACCGGCUAACUCCGUGCCAGCAGCCGCGGUAAUACGGGGGGUGCGAGCGUUGUUCGGAAUUAUUGGGCGUAAAGAGCGUGUAGGCGGCCGAAUAAGUCAGAUGUGAAAUCCCUGGGCUUAACCCAGGACGUGCAUUUGAAACUAUUCGGCUAGAGUAGGGGAGAGGAAAGUGGAAUUCCUGGUGUAGAGGUGAAAUUCGUAGAUAUCAGGAGGAACACCGGUGGCGAAGGCGACUUUCUGGCCCUAUACUGACGCUGAGACGCGAGAGCGUGGGUAGCAAACAGGAUUAGAUACCCUGGUAGUCCACGCUGUAAACGAUGUUCACUAGGUGUUGGGGGUAUUGACCCUCUCAGUGCCGCAGCUAACGC